rnacentral:sRNA from 1 species
AAGAAAAGAAGAAAAAAA